rnacentral:rRNA from 1 species
UAGUCUGGUGCCAGCAGCCGCGGUAAUUCCAGCUCCAAUAGCGUAUAUUAAAGUUGUUGUGGUUAAAAGCUCGUAGUUGGAUCUCGGCGGUCUGAGGGCGGUUCGCUUGAUUGAGUGCUACUGCUCUAUAGGCCGUGGUUUUGCCAGAGGUCUCGGGGUGCUCUUAACCGAGUGUCCUGCGAUGCUGGCAGGUUUACUUUGAAAAAAUUAGAGUGCUCAAAGCAGGCUUUUACGCCUGAAUAUUCGUGCAUGGAAUAAUAGAAUAGGAAGUCGUUUCUAUUUUGUUGGUUUUCGGAAAUCGACUUAAUGAUUAAUAGGGACAGUCGGGGGCAUUUGUAUUCAAACGACAGAGGUGAAAUUCUUGGACCGUUUGAAGACAAACUACUGCGAAAGCAUUUGCCAAGAAUAUUUUCAUUAAUCAAGAACGAAAGUUAGAGGUUCGAAGGCGAUUAGAUACCGCCCUAGUUCUAACCAUAAACGAUGCCAGCUAGCGAUCUGCCGACGUUUUCUUUGUAGACUCGGCAGGAAGCUUCCGGGAAACCAAAGCAUUUGGGUUCCAGGGGAAGUAUGGUUGCAAAGCUGAAACUUAAAGGAAUUGACGGAAGGGCACCACCAGGAGUGGAGCCUGUGGCUUAAUUUGACUCAACACGGGAAAUCUCACCAGGCCCGGACACUGGAAGGAUUGACAGAUUGAUAGCUCUUUCUUGAUUCGGUGGGUGGUGGUGCAUGGCCGUUCUU